rnacentral:rRNA from 1 species
CCUACGGGCGGCAGCAGUGAGGAAUAUUGGUCAAUGGGCGCAAGCCUGAACCAGCCAAGUCGCGUGAGGGAUGACGGUCCUAUGGAUUGUAAACCUCUUUUGUCGGGGAGCAAGGCCCGCCACGUGUGGCGUGAAGGAGAGUACCCGAAGAAAAAGCAUCGGCUAACUCCGGGCCAGCAGCCGCGGUCAUACGGAGGAUGCGAGCGUUAUCCGGAUUUAUUGGGUUUAAAGGGUGCGUAGGCGGAAGGUUAAGUCAGCGGUCAAAUGUCGGUGCGCAACACCGGCCUGCCGUUGAAACUGGUCUGCUUGAGUGAGCGAGAAGUAUGCGGAAUGCGUGGUGUAGCGGUGAAAUGCAGAGAUAUCACGCAGAACUCCGAUUGCGAAGGCAGCAUACCGGCGCUCAACUGACGCUGAGGCACGAAAGCGUGGGGAUCGAACAGGAUUAGAUACCCGAGUAGUC